rnacentral:rRNA from 1 species
AUGGCGACCGGCGCACGGGUGAGUAACACGUAUCCAACCUGCCGACAACACUGGGAUAGCCUUUCGAAAGAAAGAUUAAUACCGGAUGGCAUAGUUUUCCCGCAUGGGAUAAUUAUUAAAGAAUUUCGGUUGCCGAUGGGGAUGCGUUCCAUUAGGCAGUUGGCGGGGUAACGGCCCACCAAACCGACGAUCAGUAGCCGGCCUGAGAGGGCGACCGGCCACAUUGGGACUGAGACACGGCCCAA